rnacentral:rRNA from 1 species
AACCUACCUAUAAGACUGGAAUAACUCCGGGAAACCGGGGCUAAUGCCGGAUAACAUUUAGAACCGCAUGGUUCUAAAGUGAAAGAUGGUUUUGCUAUCACUUAUAGAUGGACCCGCGCCGUAUUAGCUAGUUGGUAAGGUAACGGCUUACCAAGGCAACGAUACGUAGCCGACCUGAGAGGGUGAUCGGCCACACUGGAACUGAGACACGGUCCAGACUCCUACGGGAGGCAGCAGUAGGGAAUCUUCCGCAAUGGGCGAAAGCCUGACGGAGCAACGCCGCGUGAGUGAUGAAGGUCUUCGGAUCGUAAAACUCUGUUAUUAGGGAAGAACAAAUGUGUAAGUAACUGUGCACGUCUUGACGGUACCUAAUCAGAAAGCCACGGCUAACUACGUGCCAGCAGCCGCGGUAAUACGUAGGUGGCAAGCGUUAUCCGGAAUUAUUGGGCGUAAAGCGCGCGUAGGCGGUUUCUUAAGUCUGAUGUGAAAGCCCACGGCUCAACCGUGGAGGGUCAUUGGAAACUGGGAAACUUGAGUGCAGAAGAGGAAAGUGGAAUUCCAUGUGUAGCGGUGAAAUGCGCAGAGAUAUGGAGGAACACCAGUGGCGAAGGCGACUUUCUGGUCUGUAACUGACGCUGAUGUGCGAAAGCGUGGGGAUCAAACAGGAUUAGAUACCCUGGUAGUCCACGCCGUAAACGAUGAGUGCUAAGUGUUAGGGGGUUUCCGCCCCUUAGUGCUGCAGCUAACGCAUUAAGCACUCCGCCUGGGGAGUAC